GAAGUCUCCCACAACCUUUCCUGUACUGACGAGCAAGAAGAGUAUCCUUUAUAUUCCUAUCAAUCUGACCAAAGAUCACAGAGACCGAAGAGGAAAGAUCAUUGUGUAAGCGAUUGUUCCUUUCUCGCCAGAGCAGGUAGAUAGUGGCUUGGGCAGAAAUGCGUUUCAAAGCAUUUGAUAGGGAAGGGGAUUUGGUCAGGAGCCAAGUGAUGACAGUAGACCAAUCAACAAAAGUACAUUGUGGUAAUCCUAGUCUGUGAAGAACCAGAAACCAAACCUGUUCUGAGAAGGCACAAUGAAGGAGUAAGAAGAAGUCUUCCUUUACAUUGCGUGUUUACUUAAUGAUCAAAAAGUUGAUUAUAUCAAGAACUUGCUUGUUGAUCAGUGGCGGACCCACU